rnacentral:lncRNA from 1 species
CCCUCCCAGGCGCCUGCUGUCUGCUUUUUGUGCUGAGGUGCCAGCCUUCAUUCUGAGUACACCCGGGGGCAUCCGAACCCUAGAAAGCUUCCUUCCCCAGACAAGGGAGCUCUCGCCACACCCAGCAGAGCUUUUUGGAGAAAGUCCAGUUUGGACAGGCUGAUGAGCAGCACCCUACUCACCAAGUCCUGGGAGGGACAACACAGGUGUCCCCAGGCACUGAUCAGAGGCUCUGCUGACUUCUUGGAAUGAGGAAAUACAGGCUGGCCUUUAAGAACUGGGACAGCGGCCACUGCAUAGGCCAAAGCCUGGACUCAUGCAAGUCUUGCCCUUCAACCUAGAAAAUGAGAUUUGACCCAGGUUUGCCCUACAGGUCCCAUGUAACACACCCUGGAAGGGAGUUCUGGGGAUCCACCACCAACUUGCUCCCACAUUUCGAUCAGGGUAUCCUGAAAAGAAGAGGGGCUCAGUCUACCACUCUGAGGAGAGAAGUGGUAUCUGUCACUAGGGAGAGAAUUGGUCCUUAGAGGGCAGGACACCUGGCCCAGGUUCCCAGAUCCUGUCAACCCAGACUUUAUGGACCGACCACCCAGCUACAGGUGACUAAUUGCCAAGGCUCAUCUGCCACUUCCUGCUCAACUCUAGCCCGCUUGCCUACCCUUCUUGUUUCCCAUGAGCUCAGCCAGUGUCAUCCUUCUAGCUCUCCUCCAUCAUGGCUCCAUCUUCCUUCCUCCUCACUGACCCAAGUAUGAGAUUCUAGUUGCUUCUUCUUCUUCUUCUUCUUCUUCUUCUUCUUCUUCUUCUUCUGUAAGAUAUGGUCUCAUGUAGCACAAGCUGGCCUUAAACUUGCUAGGUAGGGAAGGAUGAUCUUGAACUUCUGAUCUUCUUGCCUCCAACUCCCAGGAGCUAGAAUUACAGGCAUGGGCUACCAAGCCCAGUUUAUGCAGUGCUGGAUAACAAAGGCGGGUCUUUGUGUCUGCAGG